rnacentral:rRNA from 1 species
ACGAUGAAGAACGCAGCCAGCUGCGAGACUUGGUGUGAAUUGCAGGACACAUUGAGCACUGAUUUUUCGAACGCACAUUGCGGCCUCGGUUCCUAGCCGGGGCCUCGCCUGUCUGAGGGUCGGAUGAGACUUACCGAAGGGGAAUCCUUUCCCCUACUUGGUCGUUCCGGGCACGUUUUCGUAACGGACCCGCCGACCUAAAAACGAGACUCGUUCUCCGAACUUCUCUUCCGAGUUCGGCGGUCGAUGGCCGUGGAAUUCGCGAGUUCAAGAGUCGGAACCGCCUGCCAUCGGUUCCUCCUGCUCUGGAAGAGAAAACCAAAGAAUGUCGACCUCAGAUCAGACGAGAUGACCCGCUGAAUUUAAGCAUAUCAAUAAGCGGAGGAA